rnacentral:lncRNA from 1 species
UUGCAAAAUAUUUUCUCUGACUUAAAUUGUUGACAUAUCCAAAUUCACCUCUUCUCCUGAACAUAGACAGACAUCAUCAUUACUUAUGACUGAGAGCUCUGGAUUUCAAGAUGGUGUGUGAGUUUGUGUGUUUGUAUGUGAUUGUGUGAUUUCCUUUGUGCUAUAAUAGAGUAUUUUAGAUGUUACCUGUGAGCCUCAAGAUAUCUUAGACUCAGUAUGAUUUCAUAGCUGGAAGAGAUUAGAAUUUUCAUUCAAAUAGGUCAGCCUAAAUCUAGCCAGUCACUCUAAAGUGGUGAAAUCGCCCAUAGGAUUGCUUAAAGUCAGCUUGUGUACCAGCAAAUACAUACUUGUGUUUUAAAAUCGACACCAAAAUUUAGUUACACUUUAUUCUUUAUUUUUCUUUUAAUAUUUGCUUUAUCAAUAGUUGCAUAAUUUUGAGUAAUGAUACCACAGCUCUUCACUACACAUUAAAUGUAAUACUCAGAACUCCAUCUAUUAUUGUGCUGGUUGGUUUUUUGUCAGCUUUCCACACACUAGUUACAAGAGAAGGAAUCACAGUUGAGGAAUGGCCUCUAUUGGCUGGCCUGUAGGUGUGUUGUUGGGGCAUAUUCUUGAUUAGUGAUUGAUAUGAGAGAGGGCUCACUCCACUAUGGGUAAUUCCGUCCAUGGGCAAAUUAGUCCUGGGUUGAAUGUGAAAGUGGAUUGAACAAGUGAUGGAGAGCAAGCCAGGAGGAAGGAUUUGUGUCUACUCUUACUUGAGUUCCUGCCCUGAUUUCCCUGUGAUGAUCACCCCAAUUUUGGUUUUGGUCAUGGUUUGUUUGGUUUUUGUUUGUUUGUUUUAUCGGAGAAACAACACAAAGUAGGAUAAUUGGUUUGAACUUCUUGUUUUUUAAUCAUUAUGUCUUUAAUUAGCAGUGCUAAGAAGUCAACUCAGGGCCUUGUGCACUCGAGGCAAGGCAAGACUGAACUGUAUCAAGAGCCCGUGUUGGAAUUAUAUAAAAUGAAGUGCAUAUACUGCAGAGCCUAUGGGGGACCUUUGGGAUAGCAUUGAAAAUGUAAAUGAGGAAAAUACCUAAUUAAAAAAAUAUUAAUGUCACAGAAAG